AAAGCUGAUGUGACCUAAAGCAAAGCUGAUGUGACCUAAAGCAAAAGCAAAAUAGAUGUGACCCAGAUAUGACCCAAAUAAAGAUGCUCGAGCUACUGACAAAGCCACCUGUCAUCAGAAAUUCCACCUGUCUCCACAAAAGAUGCUCCAACCAUCUCAUCAACCGGUCUUUUACAACUAAAGCAAGAUUCCCGAAGAUAAGGAUGAAUGAUCUUCUACAACCAUGACCAACCACGUGGCAC
rnacentral:lncRNA from 1 species